UAAAUGAAUCAAGUGAAAAACUCAAACUAUUGAUUGUGAAAGUCAUGCCUAAUAUAACUUCCAGCUUACAUUUUUCUAAAGAAAUGCAUUCCUUUCCUAAGGCUCCAAGGAAUUAAAUUGACUUAUCCAAGGUCAACCUAAUCAACAAAACACUGCUACUACGGACCGUCCACCAAGGUUGUGAAAUUUAUUAUGUAGAACUCUGCUUAUUUUGAUAGAACUUUUACCAGUCAAGUAGGAAGAUUUACUGAGUGUUGUGUUCUAACCCUUAAAAGAGAGUACUUCUAAGAGCAAAACCAUAAAAACAAUGCUAUCAGAAGAGGGGGAAAAUACUUGCUAGUAAAAUAAGGGUAGUAAGAUAGUAAGGUAAUAGAGGGUCAGAGCUAUUGAUGUGCACAAAGGAGGCCAGUGGAUUCUUUUGCCAACAUAAACUUCUAGCUAAUAUAAACUCAGCCUUAUUGUUACUCUAACCAAUUACACUGCCACUAUUCACAUGAGAAAAGAAAGCAGUGCUAAGAGGUGUUUUGUUUUGUUUUGUUUUUUUAAUGUUAACAUGUCAUGACUACUGUUAAGAUGUCCCUGGUAAUACUACAAAUCUGUUGGUAGCAAAGGUCUUGUAUGGCUGUGAAAAUGAGGGUUCAAAUAGAAAUUAUGAUACAUAUUAAUAUUACAAGCUAUUUUUUUAGGACAUUUGGUGAGGCUAGUCGUGUCUUAGCAUGCCUAGACCUUGUUAGUGAUUGACUCAACUUUUGAAAACGAGUGGGAAAAAAUCUGAUAAAGAUCUAUUGGAAAAAAAUAUAUAGAGACAAAAAUGGCCACCUUUUAAUAAUGAUGAAGAUAGCUAGUAACUCCCUAAUAAUUUUUAAUAACCAAUAUUUUAAAAUAUCUUAAUUGCAUAGUACUUUAAUUAUUUUGUUUAAUUUAGCCUAAGAGACCAUGUUAAUGAGAAAACUAUGACUAGAUCUCAGGUCUAGAUUUUAAGAGAACAAGGAUCUUGGAAACAAAUACCUUUUGCUUAAAGUAUUUGUGAAUUUUACCAUUGAAAAACUUUGAAGAUUGAUUUACCUAUGACUGAUAUUCAAGAUCUUUGACAUCUUAAUAUUUCAAAAAUAACUUACACUACAAAGCAUAUGUUGGUAUUGAAAAACAUGGCAAAUGUGUGGUUUACGACGAGUCAUUAGUUUAUAAUAUUUAAUUUGAAUUGGUAUGUAAAGAGAUCACAAGAUGAAUAACAUUUAGAAGCAUAUAAUUUUGGAUCUGGAAAGGACUAUAGAAAUAAAUCUAGUAUUACAUAUGCAUUUUGUAAUUGUGGAAAUAGAGAAUUAAGGACAAAUUAGAGGCAGGUUUUUUAAUUAGAAACAGCUCUUUUUUUUACUAUUUUUUUUAACAUUCAUUUUUUGAGAGACAAGAGUGCGAGUGAGGGAGGGGCAGAGAGAAAGAGAAACACACAAUCUGAAGCAGGCUCCAGGCUCUGAGCUGUCAGCACAGAACCUGACAUGGGCCUCAAACCCACAAGCUGUGUGAUCAUGACCUGAGCCGAAGUCGGGUGCUUAACAAACUGAGCCACCCAGGUACCCCAACGCUCUUAUUUAAAUGAAGAAUAUGUAGCAGCACCUGGGUAGCUCAGUCAGUUAAGUAUCAACUGCAGCUCAGAUCAUGAUCUUGUGGUUCACAAGUUCAAGCCCCACGUUGGGCUCUGUGCUAACAGCUCAGAGCCUGGAACCUGCUUUGAAUUCUGUGUCUCCCCUCUCUCUGUCCCUACCCCGCUCACAGUGUAUCUCUCAAAAAUAAACAUUAAAAAAAAGGUUUUUUUUUUUAAUGAAUAUGUAGUGAAAACAUCAAAGUCGAUGACAACUAAAAAUAGGAUACAAAAUUAUGCGCAUGUUAUGUGUGGUAGGCAGCCUUGAAAAUGACCCCCACCAUCCCUGCCUGUUGGGAUUCAUGCCCUUAUGUCCGUAUGUAAUCCCCUCUCCUUAAGUGUGGGCUGGAUUUACUGAUUCACUUGUAAUCAGUAGGGAUGUCCCUGCUGAGAUUAGGUUUUUAAAAGACUGGCUUUCAUCUUGGUUGUUCUCUUAUUCUCUCCCUCUCAGAUCACCACCUACCAUGCUGAGAGGACACAUAGGCAGCCUAUGAAAAGGACCAUGUACUAAGGAACCAGCAAUCAUCAGCUAAGGAUUCAGCAACCACUUGAGUAAGCUGAAUCCUUUGGCCCCCAGUUGAGAUGGCUAUAACCCAUAGACUUCCAGAUUCCCAACACACAGAAACUGAGAGAGAAACACAAUGCUUCCAGCUCAAGACUGGCUUAACGGCCUCCUCCGAGGUUAAUGUUAACAUCGUUCUGGACAGAGUAACAGGAAGCAUCUGUGUAUCUGACCACAAACUGAGAUGAUCCAUUCUUCCCCCAUCUGAAGUAUAAAUUCUGUUGGUAUUAAAUUGCUUAAUUGCUUCUGCUUUAUAUAUUAAUACUUUAAAACAUCAUAAAAUCUCUGGGAAAACUAAAAUGAUUUAUGACUAUGUAAAUAUUUAUUUAGUUCUUCCCAGUUGGUCAGUAUUGAUUCUUUUUUACCCCCUCUAUACUUUAUUAUUUAUUUAUUUAUUUUUAAAGUUUUUAUUUAAACUCCAGUUAGUUAACAUACAGUAUCAUAUUAGUUUCAGGUGUAUAAUAUCAUGAUUCAACAAUUCCAUAUAUCACCCUGUGCUCCCCACGUCAAGUGCACUCCUUAAUCCCCAUCACCUAUUUAACCCAUCCCUCCACCCCCUCCCUUUUUCCUCUAUAAUUUAAAGGAAACUUGUAUUAUGAAAGCUAUUCUUAGAUAUCUUUUGUUUUUAUGUUCUAGAACCAUCUAUGGCUACAGGAAACUCAGGGAAGAAUGUUAGUGAAUUAGCAGAUGCUAAGUUACCCAGAAGAGCAGAUGGAAUAAUUGAUUAUGUCCUACAAAAUGGGGGAAGGGAAUACUUAAAGAUCUUUCCUCAAGUAUGCUACAGAGUUUCCAUACAAAAGGCUGUAACUAAAACUAUAUUUUUCUUUUUUUUUAAUGAUUUAUUUAUUCAUUUUGAGAGAGAAAGAGAGCACAAGCAGGGGAGGGUCAGAGAGAAGGAGAGACAGAAUCCCAAGCAGGCUCCACACCAUCAGUGCAGAGCCCGAUGUGCGGCCCGAACUCACAAACUGUGAGAUCAUGACUUGAGUUGAGAUCAAGAGUCGGACACUUAACCAACUAUGCCACUCAGGUGCCCCAUAAAACCAUAUUUUUCUUCUCUUGUAUGUUUGUUUUUAUUUCAGGUGAUCUUUUAUGUUACUUUUUAACCUGUAGAGUUUUCAAUAUGAUGUGGCAUUAAUCAUUUAAAAAUAGAGUAUGCAUACAUUUAAAGGUUUUUUUGGCAAUAAAAAAUGUACAAGAGAAAUAAGCCAAUAGAACAAAGUAGCAUACUUUGCACUGCUCCCAGAUUUUUUAGCCUACACUAUAAUAUGGACAAUUGGAAUAUAUUGGCAUCAUUAGAAUUGUACAGAUAUUUUACUAAUCACCUUGGGACUCUUAGUGAGAUUGAAAGUCCACAUUUGCUUCCUCAGAACUCUUCUCAUUCAACCUAUAAAAUAGCCAUAUCUUUAAAAAAACGUUUUUUUAUGUUCAUUUUUGAGAGAGACAGAGACAGAGCACGAACAGGGGAGUGGCAGAGAAAGAAGGAGACACGGAAUCCGAAGCAGGCUCUAGGCUCUGGGCUGUCAACUCAAACUUGUGAACCGCGAGAUCAUGACCUGAGCUGACGUUGGACGCUUAACCGACUGAGCCACCCAGGUGCCCUCAAAUAGCCAUAUCUUAAUUAUGUAAUAGUCUUGAAGACAUUGUACUAUUUAAGAAUUCAAAAUCUAAACUAUUAAGUUAAUAAAUAUUUAUGGUGCAAAUUUUGUGCCAGGCACUUUUCUAGAGGCUUAGUGAACAAAAUAGAUUUAAAAAAAAAAAAAAAGGAGGGGUGCCUGGUUGGCUCAGUCAGUAGAUCUCAGGGUCAUGACUUCAAGCCCUACAUUGGGUAUGAAGCCUACUUUAAAAAUGAAUAAAGAAAAAUAAAUUUAAGGGGUGCCUGGGUAGCUUAGUUGGUUAAGUGUCCAACUUUGGCUCAGGUCAUGAUUUCACAGUUCAUGGGUUUGAGCCCUGCAUUGGGCUCUGUGCUGCCAGCUUCAGAUCCUCUGUCUGCCUCUCCCUCUCUCUCUGCCCUUCCCCCACUCUUGCUCUCUCUCAAAAAUAAGACAUUAAAAAAACUUUUAAAAUAAAAAAUAAGAAUAAUAAAGGAAAAAACCCUAGCCUUCAUGGUACUUACAUUUUUUAAAGUGGGAUCUGUAUAAACUAAAACAUCUCUAAAACAAUAAUUCUCUUCUCUCUUGCCAGAGUGAAGCCACUUGAGGGCAGGGGCUACUGUUUCCCCAGUAUCCUAACUGCAGUGCCCGGCACACUAUAAAUGAUUAAUAGGUAUUCCUUGAAUAAUUAAAUAGCAGAAGAUCCUUUUUGCUUAAGUACAAAUAAUGCUUCUUUAUUGCCUAUUG